UGGGAUUACACUCAAAAAAAAUUUCUGACUAAUCAUAUGGCUGAUCAACGAUUAAGAAUCAAUCAAGGAUGUAAUCAUCAAUUUGAUUAAUGAUUAACCUUAAGCAAAAAUUAUGAUGAAAUAAUUUGCUAAACAUUAAUGAAUUAAUGGAGGAUAAAUUAGUAAUUAAAUUGCUGAUUAGUUCAAUUUUAUUGAGUGAUG
rnacentral:lncRNA from 1 species